rnacentral:rRNA from 1 species
GUUAAUUCCGUUAACGAACGAGACCUCAGCCUUUAAAUAGUAUGAUUUAUGGUGACAUAGGUUAAGACUUCUUAGAGGGACAGGUCGGGUUUACCGGCUGGAAGUUUGAGGCAAUAACAGGUCUGUGAUGCCCUUCGAUAAUCUGGGCCGCACGCGCGCUACAAUGAUGAAUUCAACGAGUCUUUUGUUUUUUUCUUUAUAGAAGAACGAAUUUCCUUAUCUGAGAAGAUUGGGUAAUCUUGUUAAUGUUCAUCUUGCGGGGGCUAGAUUUUUGCAAUUAUUAAUCUCCAACGAGGAACC